GUCACAGGUGUCUGUGUGUGUCACAGGUGUCUGUGUGUGUCACAGGUGUCUGUGUGUGUCACAGGUGUGUCACAGGUGUCUGUGUGUGUCACAGGUGUCUGUGUGUGUCACAGGUGUGUCACAGGUGUCUGUGUGUGUCACAGGUGUCUGUGUGUGUCACAGGUGUCUGUGUGUGUCACAGGUGUGUCACAGGUGUCUGUGUGUGUCACAGGUGUCUGUGUGUGUCACAGGUGUGUCACAGGUGUCUGUGUGUGUCACAGGUGUCUG